UGUAAACAUUCCCGACUGGAAGUUGUAAUGCAGAAAAUCUCAGCUUUCAGUCUGAUGUUUGCUGC
rnacentral:pre_miRNA from 1 species